rnacentral:misc_RNA from 1 species
UUUCCGUAGGUGAACCUGCGGAAGGAUCAUUACUGAGUUUUGAAUCAAGUUGUUCUGGUCUUACGGGGCAAGUGAACGCUUCUCUCAAUCCAUCUUACACCUGUGCACCUAUCGGGGAAGACUUGGACCUAAGUUGGGUCACGACGCCGAUCUACAGUCUCCUCUUUAUACCAAACAACAGUUUUAGAAAGUCUUUUUUGCUUGAUUCAAACUUAAAUAAAUACAACUUUCAGCAACGGAUCUCUUGGCUCUC